UUUAGUUUGUACCUUUUCGAAUUCUCCCUCGACCUCUCGAAUGAAGAACGGCGGCGCCUCUGAUUCUACUCCGGUUGGUUGCGCCGCUGCCACACCACUUCGCCUCUUUCCUCACACUAAACCGCUCCUCCUUCCUUCUCCCUGAGUCAAGCUUUCGUCACCUCUCUCUCCCUCCGAUCGAAUCGACGCUCGGCCUCCGUAAACCUCCGCUCCGCUUUCUCGAUCUCUUUCCGGUACCUCUCUUUCAAUCUCCGCCGUGAACGAUAACACUUCAUUUCUCCCAAUAUCGGUUCUUCGUCUCAGCUUCUCAGUUUUUUUGACUCUCAAUCUCCUUCUCACUUCUCUUUUGAGUUUUGAAUCCUCACUGUUGAGAGAUGACUGACGAUUGAUAAUGGAUGAAUCGUGAAUUAUGGUGGUGAAUCUUGGAGAUGAAUCUUGGAGAUGAUUGACGAUUGAUACACCGUGAUUGUUGAAUCGACGAAGAUACGGAGAUGAAGAAGUGAAGGUGUAAUUCAGAGGGAUUCGGUUCUUGUGAUGAAGAUUGAAGAAAAAGAGGAUGAACCAGAUUUGAACGGGUGAAGUUUCAGAGAAGGAGAGAGAGUUCUUUCUUCGAUUCUGUUACAGAGAGAGUGAUGGUGAUUGAAGAUUGAAUAAGGUUGAAGAUGAGGGUGGUUAGGGAUGAAUUCAGAGAGUGAUGGUUCUGAGAUCAGAAAUGGUGGAGAGGGUUGAUGGUAAGAGCGUGCAGUUCAGAAUUAUGAUGAAGAUGAAGAAUGGUUAUGGAGGAGAUGAAUGAAGGAAUGGUGGAGGAGAGUGGAAGAGGAUGAAGAUGAAAUGGUGUGUGGUUGUGGAACUUAGGCUUAACACAUCUUCAUUCAAAGUUUACAAGCGAAACUAUGAUGAAGAUUGGUGGUUGUGCUUCCAGGUGUGUGUAGAGAAGGAUGAUGAAGAGUGAGGAUUGGAAGAGAGUGUGUAGCAUUUAUAUAUGAGCGAUGAUUGAGGAAUAAUGGUGAAUCCUUGGGUGUGGAGCCUGAAUCAUAGCUUGCAAUGAGCUUUUUUCGAUUUCUCGAGUGUGGGACUUGGAAGGAUAUUUACAUGAAUUGAAGAGGGAUGCUCAUGGUUUUUGUUGUGAAUGAAACAUGAGGUCAGAGGCUGGCGGUUUGGAGGUUUGUGAUGCACAUGGUGAUGACUUCAAGGGAGUGGAAUGCAAAGGCUCUAAAGUUCAGAAGUGGAAUAGGUCCAGGGUAGGAGUUGACUUUGGUCAACUGUGUGACCAAAAAGUCAACAGUUGACUAAAGUCAACUAUAGGUCAAAAUAUGUAAAUUCUUGUAAUGGUGUACUGUAUUUGGAUUUUGCAAUGUGAAUUGGACUUUUGAAUUUUUGUAAUGGAUAUGGACACUUUGUGAUGAAUUUUGGAAUUGGAUAUUUGAAUGGUGAUAGAUGGACAUGGCUUGGCUUUUGUAAUGAAAUGUAAUGAAAUGGUUCAUUUUUUGUAACAAUACUUGAUAUGAUGUGAUGGAGUAAUGAAAUUUUCUUCAUUCUUUAAAUAGCCUUUGAAUAUGUUCUUCCCUCCAUUUUGCUUUCUUUUUGAAUUCAAUCGUGCAUUUCCCUCCUUUCUUCAGAUGAAUGAAUACACACCCUUUUGGCGAAGUUUCAAACGAAUAGCUUGGAUUCCAAGUACUCAAAAUGAACCAUUUUGGAUUGAAGAAUAAACCAGAUGACCCCCUAACAAUAAGAUGAUCAUAGGAACAACCCUGAAAAUCCACCAGUUGACACAAGCACAACAAAA